AUAUAUAAUAAGAUUAGGCUAAAAAAAAUAAUAAAAAUGAUGAUCUGUGAUCGCGAUCGAGUUACGCUCGAUGGAUUCUUGAUGCAAGGAGACGAAUUUUCCUCAGUGAACUACAUAUUGUACUCGUCCAUUUCUAGAUAUAUUUAUUUCGAUGUUAGUUAAGCUCUAUAGAUUAAGUGACUAAGUGAUUUUUAUACGUAUUACGAUAUAAGCAGCGUUUCAAGUGUGCAAGCUUCGCGGGUAUGUGUUUUUUUUUUUUAUAAUUUUGCAAUGCAAGAUUGUACAAACAAGUUACGUGAGCUAUUACAGCACUGCUAAUAAUUCCCCGUUUAUGGUUCCGUAUUUUUCUAAUGGAGAAAAAAAUACAAAGAAAAUCCAUCUUCACGUUUUGUGUUUUGUGUUCGUUACACAUACUUCUCUCGUCACUUAAGAGCCUAAAUAUAAGCUUGCAAAAUUGAUUUUUUUAAUUUUUAUAAAUAUUUCUAUACAUAAAAAAUAAAAUAAAAUAUUAAUUUAUGUGAUACACGCGAAGUGCGUACGAACUAUUCAUCCCGCGUACUCGGAUAGCAUGAUGUAAUAACGCGAUAACGUAAUAAUGUAUUUCGAUUCGUAAAGUAAUCAUAGUAAGCGCUUUUUUUUUUCUCAGAAUCGAACGCAUCAAUGUAGUAUGCCAGCUCAUUGUAGUCUCAAUUGAGUUAAAUCUGCGUGACUCCGUGCCGGGUGUCUGAUGCGAUAUAUGUGACGAGCCUGUGUUACAUAUAUCAAGUUUAGGCCGCACAUUGUAUCCGUAAUGCCGCUUAAUUAAGAAUGGAGAAUUGAUCACAUAAUUUAGAACGAACUCCGCAAAGUCUCGGUCGGCAUCCGACACGGCUAGAACGUAGUUAAUGACGAGAACGAAAUGACGGCCCUGGGUCGAAGCGAUCCCUUUCGUUCCGCGUGUUUGCAACGGAACGUGUACGACGUGGACGAGAAAUGCGGCAUAACGAAAUACACCGUAUAUGCUAUCAGAGGAAACUAGACUUUGCUGUGCAGCAUGUCUACGGUUUGAAACUAGUGUGGAUGUGUAGGUGGGACCACUUCCCACAUACGCGUAACUGGCACAGAAGCGACAUUGUAACAUACCUGUUGCAAGGUCCACCGCAUCGAAGGGACAAAGUAAGCCAUCGAAAAAUUUCAUGGAGAAGCAUUUAUCCCUCUGAAAAAAAAACAAUAUAUGAGCACAAUGUGGCGAUAGUUUUAUUAAGAGUACUCCGAAGUAAUAUGCUAAUGUGCUCUUGAAUGAUCGUAUUAAUUGAUUCCUCUGAGAAGUUUGCUCAUGUCACCGUAAAAGGAAGAGAUUAAUUUAUAUUGGCGCCUGCUAUUUGUGACUCUCGGCGCGCCUUUCCGCUAUGACUAUUUCAUAUCGUAUAAAAAAACAGCUUUGUAGGCGUGUGCAUACAAUAUCGUCAGAGGAGUAAUGUGUUAGUGACAUCAGGACUAAUCAUUCAGCCAGAUCAUGCGGGCAAUAAUAUUGCUUACUCCAUUUCCGUAACCAUUAUACAUGAAUGAUCUAUCGUAUAAUUAAAUGUAUCUCAUUU